AGGUUAUAAAAAUUGUUCCUUAAUUGUAUAUUUUAGAUAAACAAAACUUGUUUUUUCAUCUUUGUAAUGAAGCGUGCAGGAAUUACUUAUCAAUAUAAGUACAGGUGCAAUUAUUCUUUGGAUUGGGCUCAGUACGCUCAAAUUGUAUGCUGAAAUGUCAAUGCAAGACCAAACUUAUUGAUUAACGUAUAAUGAUUGCUCUUAAAAAUGAUUAAAAAUAAGACGAACA
rnacentral:lncRNA from 1 species